UACGUAGGGGGCAAGCGUUAUCCGGAUUUACUGGGUGUAAAGGGAGCGUAGACGGCGAUGCAAGUCUGAAGUGAAAGGCGGGGGCCCAACCCCCGGACUGUUUUGGAAACUGUAUAGCUGGAGUGCAGGAGAGGUAAGUGGAAUUCCUAGUGUAGCGGUGAAAUGCGUAGAUAUUAGGAGGAACACCAGUGGCGAAGGCGGCUUACUGGACUGUAACUGACGCUGAGGCUCGAAAGCGUGGGGAGCAAACAGG
rnacentral:rRNA from 1 species